rnacentral:lncRNA from 1 species
CAAGAUGGCUGCGCCCACUGGCUUCGCUGGGGGGGAGGGGCUGUUACUCACACGCGCCGGUCUGGGUUCAGAUCAAUUCUGUUCUCUGGUCUCCUGAGACCCUUGAUUUAUAGGGUCCCCGCGGAUAGAAGCUUUCCCCCCCAUCAGCGGGUUUCCACUGAACCAGCAGCAGGAGUCCUGGAUGAUCCCCCAGUUGCGCAGCCCCUCCCCCGCUCCUUCCCGACCUGCACAGCAGCGAUCUCAGACUCUAGGAGAGGGAGUGAUGUUCUCUCCUACCGUUCCAGUGCCUCCAAGGCUGAAAGUGAGCUCAGAGAGAGUUACAGUUUAUUUCCAUCAAAAGCUCAAUGAGAAUUUGCAAGAUAAAAGGCCAGUGCUUAUUAAUGACUGAGAGAGUAAUUUAAAGCAACAUGAUGAUCCCGCGGACAUGCUCCAGAUACAGCCCAGCUCAUCUGAAUUCAGCAUGGCUGAAACAACAAGGUCUAGCUGGCAGUUAAAAAGCCUCCAGUUUUAUUCCCCUGAAAGGCUUUUCAGAGGCUGACCCUGCCAACUUAUACUAAUGUGUUCAAUCCUACACAUCAUUCAGGUAGCAGCCUCUUAAACACAAGCAGGCUAGAGUCUGUCAUUAACUUCCGAAUUCUCUCUACUUCCAUCUUGACUUGGCCACACAGACUACAGGAGAGGUAGAUCCAGAGAGACACUGUUCUAGAGGAUGUUGAUGCUCUCACACAAAUAUCUGCCCUUCUUGGAGGAUGAUACAUCUGGAGAUGGAGAUCAAAAAGAUAGCUGAGGCAGUGCCACCUGGCCGGUGAGGCUAUAUCCUUUAUCACAUCACAAAUCAUCCUAAAUUAUUUACCAGUUGCUUUUCCUACCAGACUGCACCAGUUCUGGAGCCAGACCCUCUGGGUUAGAGCCCGGCUUCAUCACUCUUGGGCAAGUCACUUAUCCUCUCUCUAACUCAGUUUCCACAUCUGUAACAUGAACACAAUGCUCACCUCCUGGGGUUGUUGUAACGAUUAACUGAACCAAUUCUUAUAGAACAAAGUCUAUCAAAUACUUGGGGAUGAUGGUGGUGGUGUUGAAAGGGAUCAGAUCUUUGUGUCUGUACUCCCAAUGACUCACCAAGUGCUUAACCCACAGGAGAGACUUGAAAACCAUGCUAAUUUUGUAGCCUUGGGCAAGGCAUUUAAACUCUCUGAGCAGAAAAGAAACUUGUGGUGGGGAUGCGUAGGAGAGAGAGAGCACACACAGAUGAAACAAGAUAGGCAAAUAUCAGCAAUUCUUGAGUCUGGGUUUCAUGGGGUUUCAUUACACUAUUUUCUCAAUUCUUAUGUAUGUUUAAAUAUCCAACAGUAAAAUUUAAGUGAAA